rnacentral:rRNA from 1 species
GAAGAAAGCGGGGGGCGUGCUUAACACAUGCAAGUCGAACGGAAAGGCCUCUUUCGGGGGGUACUCGAGUGGCGAACGGGUGAGUAACACGUGAGUAACCUGCCCUUGACUUUGGGAUAACUUCAGGAAACUGGGGCUAAUACCGGAUAGGAGCUCCUGCUGCAUGGUGGGGGUUGGAAAGUUUCGGCGGUUGGGGAUGGACUCGCGGCUUAUCAGCUUGUUGGUGGGGUAGUGGCUUACCAAGGCUUUGACGGGUAGCCGGCCUGAGAGGGUGACCGGCCACAUUGGGACUGAGAUACGGCCCAGACUCCUACGGGAGGCAGCAGUGGGGAAUAUUGCACAAUGGGUGGAAGCCUGAUGCAGCAACGCCGUGUGCGGGAUGACGGCCUUCGGGUUGUAAACCGCUUUCGCUCAUGACGAAGCUUUGUGUGACGGUAGUGGGUAAAGAAGCACCGGCUAACUACGUG